UGUGUGUGUGUGUGUGCGUGUGCGCGUUUGUGUAUGCAUUUGUAUGGUGUUGAAUUCUCACCGUACUAUAGGGUUUCUGUAAACAUUCACAAGGUAGAUUAUUAGAUUAUUGCUGAUGUUUGUGUUGUCAGCAUAUAUGAGGUGUUUGGAAUGUUUACAGGAGCUGAAACCUGUUCAAUUUGAGAGGGGAUUGGAAAGAAUGCUUGUGUGAUGUUCAUGAUCUAUAUAUGAGUGCCAAGCCAUGACUGUCGUGAGUUAGUGAUUAAGAAAGAGAAACGACAAACACCGUAACACGGGCCUUAUGAUUUCAUACAGCGUGAAGCGUGUAGAGAUUAUUAUAAACAAAGUCUAGCUGACUCAACAACAAUAUUUACCUUAACAAACCAAACCUUGUGUAAUAAUUCAGCACAGUAUAUUUGAGCAGUAGAUUAUUAGUAAUGUUGUACCAGUCUGACUUGACUGUCCCAGGUGCACGUGUCCUGAUGGAACAAUCCCAUAAUGACUGACUUCUCUUUUUAUUGGUGGUGUUGUUUUUGCCCCCAUCACUCUUAUGAGUGUGCUAAAUUGAUUUCUCACCAAUAAGCAACAGUGGCCUUGAUGUUGGCCUCUCUGCUGGCUUAUUGGAGUAAAGAAGUAAGAGACAAAAAAUUAUCCCAUAGACUCCUUACGGUCUCUAAAAUGUAUAGCACUUAUUUGGAAUAGCAGAAAAUCCUCUUUUUACGUACCCCCAUCAGAAAGAUUUCCAUUCUUUUCGCAUCCUGAUUAAUUAUAGCCUUCCUAUCCACCCUAAACAACAAAUAUUGUCCUUAUCAGAAAUAAAAUAAGCUAAGCAGCGAUUUUUCCCUAAAACACUACCUUGCUGUAGCUCUACCUCCCUCCCUCCCUCCCUUUUCCUUGCACCGUAUUGGUGAGUCAAGGGAAGAUGCCUCCCAUAGUAAUUGUGGGCCAUUAUAAUCCCUCCCAUAGUAAUUGUGUGCCAUUACAAUUCCUCCCAUAGUAGUUGUUUGCCAUUAUAAUCCCUCCAAGCAGCAGGUGUUUGAUCCGUCACCAUUUCAGACGAGUCACGGGGCGCAGAAAGAGUUACCCUCAGAAACAGACUCACUAGUUGAGCUAGUGGUACUUUCUCAGGUUAGUCAAUGCAGCAUAUAAGGGUGUGUUAAAUGGAGCUUCAUUUGUGUCUUUGGAAAAAAAAAAACAAGAGAAGGAGAGCGAGAGUGAGAAAUGGCGCCACCUUGUGUUUGCAUAAAUGAAUGCUUGAGUCAUCACCACCCACUAAGUCUAGUCACUAGCAUUGGUGAUAUUUGUGUGGUCACGAUUCGUUUUUCUCUUGUUCAUUUGGACAUUGGGUUUACUCGCUGCUCUAUCCCGCCUCUCACCGAUCCUAUCGUUGACUACUUUGACGAUACCAAUCAGUCGGUGAACCUGUAAACGUGCACAUUGCAUUCUCAAAGCAGCCACUUCUAUACUCUCUCAUCCUUUUUUUCUGUAUCACAAGAUGUCCCUUAACUUGUGAAAUGGUCACAUACACAACACAUUUCCCCUGGUUAGGUGAUGUCAAGGAAAUUAUUGCAGUUAUUUGUAUCCAAAGAGAUGUAAAGAAAGAUGGAGAACAAGCUUAAAAAAAAUCCCUAUCAAAUUGUUUGUUUUAUGUUAUUUUUUUUUAAUAUAUUCUGAUGGAAUGCCCAUACAGAAGAGAUGGUGAAUCAUGUUUAAAUGUUCUGUAGUUCUGAUGUAUGCAGUAGAAGUUCUGAAUGUCUAUCAGUGUUCACUAUCUUGCUAUCAUUUAAUCUUCGUAUGUGUGAUGUUCUUUGCAGAACACUUGUGUUUGGCUCAUGAAAUCAAUCUGGUCAGUGCACAUUUAAAAAAACAAAUAAAUAAAAACAAACUUUUAAAGUAGCACCGUAAUUAGGUAUCUUUUUUUCAGUUCUUGCCUACCUUGUGAUUCAAAAGUGACAACAAUAAUUAAAGAACAGGGUGACGCUAUAGACGCAAACUGAAGUUUUUCUUUUUUAUUAUUAUUUUCUACUUCUUCUACACGAAUGCAAGGGUGCUGUGUAUUAUCACUGUAUAGGAGAGUGUGGUGAAUUGGGUUCAUUUCACGACCCAGGCCAUUCUUACAUUAACAAAAAAAAAAACCAUAAUGGUUCC
ensembl:lncRNA